GUUUGUUUCUCGAAUGGGUAGUCCGGGUUGAGGCGGGGUGCAAAGCGGUCGUACACUACCUGGACGACUUCCUCUGCGUGGGGCCAGCGGACUCAGCCCCGAAUGCUCGCACUUGUUGCGGACCAUGGAAUGGGUGGCAGGCCACUUUGGGGUGCCGCUGGCGGCGGAUAAGACUGAGGGCCCAACCGAAUGUCUUAGCUUCC